rnacentral:rRNA from 1 species
GAUGAACGCUGGCGGCGUGCCUAAUACAUGCAAGUCGAACGGAGCUAAACAGCAAUGGAUAGCUUAGUGGCGAACGGGUGAGAAACGCGUUGGUGACCUGCCCUAAAGCGGGGGAUAACAGAUCGAAAGGUUUGCUAAUACCGCGUAAUGUGAUCGAGGUUAGGUGCUUGAUCAAGGAAGCUGAGAAGCGCUUUAGGAGGGACCUGCGUCCCAUCAGCUAGUUGGUGAGGUAGAGGCUCACCAAGGCGAUGACGGGUAGGGGACCUGAGAGGGUGACCCCCCACAAUGGAACUGAAACACGGUCCAUACACCUACGGGUGGCAGCAGUAGGGGAUAUUGGGAAUGGGCGGAAGCCUGACCCAGCAACGCCGCGUGAACGAUGAAGGCCUUCGGGUUGUAAAGUUCUUUUGACUGGGAAGAGAGAGGACGGUACCAGUCGAAUAAGUCUCGGCUAACUACGUGCCAGCAGCCGCGGUAACACGUAGGAGACGAGCGUUAUCCGGAAUUACUGGGUGUAAAGCGCGUGCAGGCGGCAUGGCAAGAUGGAUGUAAAAGCCCCCGGCUUAACUGGGGGAGGUCGUCCGUGACUGCCAGGCUAGAGGGUAGUAGAGGUAGGCGGAAUUCCGAGUGUAGCGGUAAAAUGCAUAGAUAUUCGGAAGAACACCAGUGGCGAAGGCGGCCUUCUGGACUACAACUGACGCUCAGACGCGAAAGCCAGGGUAGCAAACGGGAUUAGAGACCCCGGUAGUCCUGGCAGUAAACGAUGUGGACAUGGCGUAGGGGGGUUCAAAUCCCUUUGUGCCGGAGCAAACGCGAUAAGUCCACCACCUGGGGACUACGGCCGCAAGGUUAAAACUCAAAGGAAUUGACGGGGGCCCGCACAAGCAGCGGAGCGUGUGGUUUAAUUCGAUGCUACACGAAGAACCUUACCAGGGUUUGACAUACACAUGGUAGAGACGUGAAAGCGUCUUGACCCUUCGGGGAGUGUGAACAGGUGUUGCAUGGCUGUCGUCAGCUCGUGUCGUGAGAUGUUCGGUUAAGUCCGCUAACGAGCGCAACCCACAUUGCGUGUUACAAGUGUCACGCGACACUGCCGGUCUUAAGCCGGAGGAAGGUGUGGACGACGUCAAGUCAGCAUGACCUAUAUAUCCUGGGCUACACACACGCUACAAUGGCCGGUACAACGGGUAGCGAAGCCGCGAGGCGGAGCCAAUCCAGAAAGCCGGUCUCAGUUCAGAUUACAGGCUGCAACCCGCCUGUAUGAAGAUGGAGUUGCUAGUAACCGCAGGUCAGCUAUACUGCGGUGAAUACGUUCCCGGGCCUUGUACACACCGCCCGUCACGUCAUGGGAGCUGGCAACACCUGAAGCCGGUAUCCGAACCGCAAGGGAGGAGCCGUCGAGGGUGGGGCUGGUGACUGGGACG